AUAAUUAAUUCCCAUUCCCAGCAACACUGACUUAUAAGUAGUAUUGCUUCUCCGCAAGGUUAGAAUAAUGGGCUGAAUUUCGAUGCAGCUGACUGCGUUCAGUCAGCUUUGUGAGGAUGGAGUACCUAUUUUACAAGCAAGAAAAAGCGGCGUCCAGCGAUCUGGGCACCAAUGAGCCAAUAGAGGUCUGCACUAAAAGGUGUUAAUCUGUGUGGACUCAUCCGCUUCUGAUGAGGCAGGUGCACCAUCGGCAAAAACCUCCACAGGGGAAAGAGCCCCCAAGCCACAUAUCUGGGGACCUCUGCCAACAAAAAAUCUGCACCGAAAAGAAGGUGUCAUGUGAUGAGGCAAGUGCAUCCAUCGGCAAAAACCUCGACAAGGGAAAGAGCCCCCCCCCCC